UUGCACAGUGAACACCCAAGUGUGCUCUGUAGUGCUCUUGGCCUUGACUCUGUGCUAGAGUGAAGUCUGUUCUUUUCCUCUGCGUUGAAAGGAGUGUUAUCCUUUUUAAUGUAUUCAGAUGAUCAGCACAUCA